UGCAAGUCGAGCGAAGAGAUGGGAGCUUGCUCCCUGAUCUUAGCGGCGGACGGGUGAGUAACACGUGGGCAACCUGCCCUGCAGACUGGGAUAACUCCGGGAAACCGGAGCUAAUACCGGGUAAUACAUCGCACCGCAUGGUGCAAUGUUGAAAGUUGGCUUUCGAGCUAACACUGCAGGAUGGGCCCGCGGCGCAUUAGCUAGUUGGUAAGGUAAUGGCUUACCAAGGCGACGAUGCGUAGCCGACCUGAGAGGGUGAUCGGCCACACUGGGACUGAGACACGGCCCAGACUCCUACGGGAGGCAGCAGUAGGGAAUCUUCCGCAAUGGACGAAAGUCUGACGGAGCAACGCCGCGUGAGUGACGAAGGCCUUCGGGUCGUAAAGCUCUGUUGUUAGGGAAGAACAAGUACCGUUCGAAUAGGGCGGUACCUUGACGGUACCUAACCAGAAAGCCACGGCUAACUACGUGCCAGCAGCCGCGGUAAUACGUAGGUGGCAAGCGUUGUCCGGAAUUAUUGGGCGUAAAGCGCGCGCAGGCGGUCUUUUAAGUCUGAUGUGAAAGCCCACGGCUCAACCGUGGAGGGUCAUUGGAAACUGGAGGACUUGAGUGCAGAAGAGGAGAGUGGAAUUCCACGUGUAGCGGUGAAAUGCGUAGAUAUGUGGAGGAACACCAGUGGCGAAGGCGGCUCUCUGGUCUGUAACUGACGCUGAGGCGCGAAAGCGUGGGGAGCAAACAGGAUUAGAUACCCUGGUAGUCCACGCCGUAAACGAUGAGUGCUAGGUGUUGGGGGGUUCCACCCUCAGUGCUGAAGUUAACACAUUAAGCACUCCGCCUGGGGAGUACGACCGCAAGGUUGAAACUCAAAGGAAUUGACGGGGGCCCGCACAAGCAGUGGAGCAUGUGGUUUAAUUCGAAGCAACGCGAAGAACCUUACCAGGUCUUGACAUCCUCUGACAAUCCUGGAGACAGGACGUUCCCCUUCGGGGGACAGAGUGACAGGUGGUGCAUGGUUGUCGUCAGCUCGUGUCGUGAGAUGUUGGGUUAAGUCCCGCAACGAGCGCAACCCUUGAUCUUAGUUGCCAGC
rnacentral:rRNA from 1 species